GGAUUAGAUACCCUGGUAGUCCACGCCCUAAACGAUGGACACUAGUUGUCGGAGUUCCUAAUAGCUUCGGUGACGUAGCAAACGCGUUAAGUGUCCCGCCUGGGGAGUACGGUCGCAAGAUUAAAACUCAAAGGAAUUGACGGGGGCCCGCACAAGCGGUGGAGCAUGUGGUUUAAUUCGAUGCUACGCGAAAAACCUUACCUGGGUUUGACAUCCCGGGCUACUCUGUGAAAGCAGAGGUUCUCUUCGGAGACUCGGUGACAGGUGCUGCAUGGCUGUCGUCAGCUCGUGCCG
rnacentral:rRNA from 1 species